UCGAGAAUUUUUCUCAAUGGGCGCAAGCCUGAAGGAGCGACGCCGCGUGGAGGAUGAAGGUCUUCGGAUUGUAAACUCCUGUCAUUUGGGAACAAACCCUCCGGUUAACUGCCGGAAGGCUGAUAGUACCAGAAGAGGAAGGGACGGCUAACUCUGUGCCAGCAGCCGCGGUAAUACAGAGGUCUCAACCGUUGUUCGGAUUCAUUGGGCGUAAAGGGUGCGUAGGCGGUCGCGUAAGUCAGGUGUGAAAUCCCGGGGCUCAACCCCGGAACUGCACUUGAUACUGCGUGGCUAGGAUACUGGAGAGGAGACUGGAAUUUACGGUGUAGCAGUGAAAUGCGUAGAUAUCGUAAGGAAGACCAGUGGCGAAGGCGAGUCUCUGGACAGUUAUCGACGCUGAGGCACGAAGGCUAGGGGAGCAAACG
rnacentral:rRNA from 1 species